rnacentral:rRNA from 1 species
AAUGAACGCUGGCGGCAGGCCUAACACAUGCAAGUCGAACGGAUCCUUCGGGAUUAGUGGCGGACGGGUGAGUAACGCGUGGGAACAUACCCUUUGGUACGGAAUAGCCUCGGGAAACUGGGAGUCAUACCGUAUGUGGUCGAGAGACGAAAGAUUUAUCGCCAAAGGAUUGGCCCGCGUUGGAUUAGGUAGUUGGUGGGGUAAUGGUCUACCAAGCCGACGAUCCAUAGCUGGUUUGAGAGGAUGAUCAGCCACACUGGGACUGAGACACGGCCCAGACUCCUACGGGAGGCAGCAGUGGGGAAUCCUAGACAAUGGGGGAAACCCUGAUCUAGCCAUGCCGCGUGAUCGAUGAAGGCCUUAGGGUUGUAAAGAUCUUUCAGGUGGGAAGAUAAUGACUGUACCACCAGAAGAAGCCCCGGCUAACUCCGUGCCAGCAGCCGCGGUAA